rnacentral:rRNA from 1 species
AGAGUUUGAUCCUGGCUCAGAACGAACGCUGGCGGCAGGCUUAACACAUGCAAGUCGAACGCUCGUCUUCGGACGGGAGUGGCAGACGGGUGAGUAACGCGUGGGAACGUACCCUUCAGUUCGGAAUAACCCAGGGAAACUUGGGCUAAUACCGGAUACGUCCGUAAGGAGAAAGAUUGAUCGCUGAAGGAUCGGCCCGCGUCGGAUUAGCUAGUUGGUGAGGUAACGGCUCACCAAGGCAACGAUCCGUAGCUGGUCUGAGAGGAUGAUCAGCCACACUGGGACUGAGACACGGCCCAGACUCCUACGGGAGGCAGCAGUGGGGAAUAUUGGUCAAUGGGCGCAAGCCUGAACCAGCCAUGCCGCGUGAGUGAAGAAGGCCUUAGGGUUGUAAAGCUCUUUCAGCGGGGACGAUAAUGACGGUACCCGCAGAAGAAGCCCCGGCUAACUUCGUGCCAGCAGCCGCGGUAAUACGAAGGGGGCUAGCGUUGUUCGGAAUUACUGGGCGUAAAGCGCGCGUAGGCGGGCAUUUAAGUCAGGGGUGAAAUCCCAGGGCUCAACCCUGGAACUGCCUUUGAUACUGGAUGCCUGGAGUUCGGGAGAGGUGAGUGGAAUUCCGAGUGUAGAGGUGAAAUUCGUAGAUAUUCGGAGGAACACCAGAAGCGAAGGCGGCUCACUGGCCCGAUACUGACGCUGAGGCGCGAAAGCGUGGGGAGCAAACAGGAUUAGAUACCCUAGUAGUCC